rnacentral:rRNA from 1 species
UACGUAGGGUGCAAGCGUUGUUCGGAUUCACUGGGCGUAAAGGGUGCGUAGGCGGUCGGGGUAAGUCUGAUGUGAAAUCUCACAGCUUAACUGUGAAACUGCAUUGGAUACUAUCCGGCUAGAGGAAUGGAGGGGAGACUGGAAUACUUGGUGUAGCAGUGAAAUGCGUAGAUAUCAAGUGGAACACCAGUGGCGAAGGCGAGUCUCUGGACAUUUUCCUGACGCUGAGGCACGAAAGCCAGGGGAGCAAACGGGG